UGUCGCCAGAAGGAACCAUCAUCAUCUCAGUAUUGGGAAUCAAUACAGGCACUCUACGGUUAUCAACAAUCUUACUCGGCAUUUCAAGUACUCUGCACCCCUUAUAUUUACGCCAAUUUCUGACUCCCUUCAUUGCUACCAUUUAAUCGCCCGCUUUCAUACACAAUUCGUUUUUAUGUCGUUAGCAUUGACAAUGUUAACGUCCCUCUCUUCGUUAGGCUCGUCCACUUCGAUAUCCCUGUGUUCUUCAAAAGUUUCUGCCAAAGGAAUUGGCUCAAACUGUAAGAUAUUCUUUUGAAGUGCCUGUAAGUACGUGUCCCAAGAAGGUUCUGAUUGGGAACUGACCCUCAAUUUGUUAAAGCCUUGAUGGGCGAUGGCUCGAGCUGAUUCGUCCCCUUGGCUUUCCUGGCUUUCCUCCUCAUCUCUCAUGACAUCUUCUCGCACAAGUUUCUUUUGGGGCAGCUCCUUGUCCCAACCACAGUCUCUGAACUUUCCAUGAUAAUAGAUCCCUCACAGACGAGAGCAUCGACCGAUUGUAAGGUUGUCGGGGGCUAAUCAGACGAUCAUAUGUCAGGUUCAAGGUAAAGUAUCCCCCAUGUGAUAUAGAGAUAACUCACAAGCCCCAUUCUCUUCCUCUGUGCACACGUUCUCAGGCUCCCAAGUAAAAUUGACCACAUCAACGACAAGGCUCGCGAAGUCUGUCUGUUAACAUUCUGCUUGCUUAUAUUGUGACUAUGUAACGAUAUGAAUGAAUGGACGACGGACAAUGGGUCAUGAAGCGAGUAGGGCGGAGCGAAUCCGCUGUACAUAUGUAUAUUCGCAGUUAGUAAUGUCCAUAAAGCGGUUGGUGGGACCAACGCAGAGAGAAAAGGUAUAUAUAAUUGGGUAGAUAUACUUUAGUAAC
rnacentral:sRNA from 1 species